rnacentral:rRNA from 1 species
CCUGAUGCAGCCAUGCCGCGUGUGUGAAGAAGGCCUUCGGGUUGUAAAGGACUUUCAGUCGUGAGGAAAGGUUAGUAGUUAAUACCUGCUAGCUGUGACGUUAGCGACAGAAGAAGCACCGGCUAACUCCGUGCCAGCAGCCGCGGUAAUACGGAGGGUGCGAGCGUUAAUCGGAAUUACUGGGCGUAAAGCGUGCGUAGGCGGAUUGUUAAGCGAGAUGUGAAAUCCCGGGGCUCAACCUCGGAACUGCAUUUCGAACUGGCAGUCUAGAGUAUUGUAGAGGGUGGUGGAAUUUCCAGUGUAGCGGUGAAAUGCGUAGAGAUUGGAAGGAACAUCAGUGGCGAAGGCGGCCACCUGGACAAAUACUGACGCUGAGGCACGAAAGCGUGGGGAGCGAACAGGAUUAGAUACCCUGGUAGUCCACGCCGUAAACGAUGUCAACUAGCUGUCUGUGAACUUGAUUCGUGGGUAGCGUAGCUAACGCGCUAAGUUGACCGCCUGG